AACAGUUUUUGGAGCACAGAAAGACUCCAGAAAUUCAUACAGGAAGGCAACUAAAAUAGCUAAACCUGUAACCCUAUACAUUCAAGAAAGAGAGGAGGAAGAAGACACAACCUCAUCUAAUCAAGUUGAGGAAGUCAAACUCUCAAAAGGAGGAGUCCUGAUGGGGACAUCUUUAUCCUCCGAGUUAAAAAAUUCACUACUGCAGCU
rnacentral:lncRNA from 1 species